rnacentral:pre_miRNA from 1 species
AUUCUACUCCCUCCGUUGCACAAUACAUGCCUUCUAUUUGUCAAAAUAUAUAUGUAUCUAGACAUGUCUUAGUAUAUAGGUACAUCCAUUUUUGGACAAAUGGAAGUCAAGUAUUUUGGAACGAAAGGAGUACACA